CCCUCCCUGGAGGCGCCCCUCCCCAGGCUGCCCUCCUACGAGAGUGUCAGGAAGAAGGACCGCCAGAGACAGAUACACAUGAUGAUUGCUGACCGUUUCGGCCUCAACGGCUCCAUGCUGACUGAGGUCAGAUACCGGGGGGGGUGGACGGCUCCAUGCUGACUGGGGUCAGAUACCGGGGGGGUGGAGGGCUCCAUGCUGACUGAGGUCAGAUACCGGGGGUGGAGGGCUCCAUGCUGACUGAGGUCAGAUACCAGGGGGUGGAGGGCUCCAUGCUGACUGGGGUCAGAUACCGGGGGGGGUGGAGGGCUCCAUGCUGACUGAGGUCAGAUACCGGGGGUGGAGGGCUCCAUG
ensembl:lncRNA